UACGUAGGGGGCAAGCGUUGUCCGGAUUUAUUGGGCGUAAAGAGCGUGUAGGCGGCCAUUCAGGUCAGCUGUGAAAACUCGAGGCUCAACCUCGAGACGUCGGUUGAAACCGUUUGGCUAGAGUCCGGAAGAGGAGAGUGGAAUUCCCGGUGUAGCGGUGAAAUGCGCAGAUAUCAGGAGGAACACCGGUGGCGAAGGCGGGUCUCUGGGCAAUAACUGACGCUGAGGAGCGAAAGCGUGGGGAGCGAACAGG
rnacentral:rRNA from 1 species